rnacentral:rRNA from 1 species
AACGAACGCUGGCGGCAGGCCUAACACAUGCAAGUCGAGCGGAUCCUUCGGGAUUAGCGGCGGACGGGUGAGUAACGCGUGGGAAUAUGCCCUUCUCUACGGAAUAGCCUCGGGAAACUGGGAGUAAUACCGUAUACGCCCUACGGGGGAAAGAUUUAUCGGAGAAGGAUUAGCCCGCGUUGGAUUAGGUAGUUGGUGGGGUAAUGGCCUACCAAGCCUACGAUCCAUAGCUGGUUUGAGAGGAUGAUCAGCCACACUGGGACUGAGACACGGCCAAGACUCCUACGGGAGGCAGCAGUGGGGAAUCUUAGACAAUGGGGGAAACCCUGAUCUAGCCAUGCCGCGUGAGUGACGAAGGCCUUAGGGUUGUAAAGCUCCUUCAGCUGGGAAGAUAAUGACGGUACCAGCAGAAGAAGCCCCGGCUAACUCCGUGCCAGCAGCCGCCGUAAGAC